CAAAAACAUGUCUUUUUGAUUAUAAUUUAAAGUCUAACCUGCCCAAUGAGGAGUUAAAUGGCCGCGGUAUUUUGACCGUGCAAAGGUAGCAUAAUCAUUAGUUUUUUAAUUGAAAGCUGGUAUGAAUGGUUGGACGAGAAAAUAACUGUCUCGGUUUAAAUUAAAUUAGAAUUUUAUUUAUGAGUAAAAAAGCUCAUAUGAGUUUAAAAGACGAGAAGACCCUAUAGAAUUUAAUAUAUGUAUAUAUAUAUUAUUUUUAGUAUUAAUAAUAAGUUAUAUAUAAUUAUAUUUUGUUGGGGUGAUGGAAAAAUUAAAUUAACUUUUUUUAUAUAAAAACAUUAAUGUAUGAAAAAAUGAUCCGUUAAUUACGAUUAUAAGAUUAAAUUACCUUAGGGAUAACAGCGUAAUUUUUUUUUAGAGUUCUUAUCGAAAAAAGAGUUUGCGACCUCGAUGUUGGAUUAAAAUUAACUUUUGGUGUAGGGGCU
rnacentral:rRNA from 1 species